rnacentral:lncRNA from 13 species
AUUGAACUGGCAAAUCAAGUAGAAGAAUAUUGUGCUGAUAUUUCUACGGGUGAUGAUACUGAUGCAAUUAUUCGCAACGUAUGUGACGGACAACAGCAAACUAAACGUAUUUGUAAGAAGAAAAAGUUUCCUAACGAUACUUCUGAUAGAAGUGAUUCAUCAAAUGAUACCAUUAAAGAAAAUGAGGAUAUAGCUUAUAAAAAACUACAUAGAGAUCGAAGAGCUCCACAUUGCCUCCGAGCAACUACAAAAACGUGAACGAUAAAAAUAAAGAAGACAGUGAUAUUCAUGAUACAGCUUAUAAGAAAGUUCCACAAAACUUCAAGAGCUCUCCAUUGCCUCCAAGCAGCUACAAGAACGUAGAUGAAAACAAAGAAAACAAUGAUAUUUAUGAGAAGAUAGCUUUAAAUACGUUGUCGAAUCCAUUGUUCGAAAGCCUGCCACUUUGUGCAAUAUGGAAGUCCAAACUUCGACAUAUUCGACGAAUUCUGAGAAUUGGGGAAAAAGAAUUCGAGGCAGUUUACUCGAAAUGUAAUGCGGUGGCUAAUUUCUGAUAGACUUGCAUUACAACUGUCGUGAUCGGGACAACGAAUAACAAUAAAGUUUAAAGACUUCAAAUUAUGCACAGUGAUUAUCGAAACAAUCGCUGCAAAUACUUCCGACACGGUGAACAAUAUUGGACAAGUAAUAAAGAUUUGGCUAUAACAUGCCAGUGAUAGAAUUAAACAUAAAGAAAAAUAAUAUUUUAAGAUAUACCUGCGCGCGCGCGCACGCACACACAGGCACACACACACACACAUACACGCGCGCGCGCGCUUGCACGC